rnacentral:misc_RNA from 1 species
UACAAACUGUGAAAGCAUGG